AAUAAGUUUAAUUUCAGUAUUAUUUAUGUUCAACGUUUGACCGUUCGUCUUAUUUAAAAAAAAGAUUUUUUAUUGUUAUUAGAUGAUAAAACAUGAAUACUAUUUUAUUUUAUGUGUGACUAAUUUUUUUAAUAUUUUUUAUAAAUUUUUUAAAUAAGACGGAUGAUCAAAACGUUAAACACGGAUAUUUAUUUAUGGUUGUAAU
rnacentral:pre_miRNA from 1 species